rnacentral:rRNA from 1 species
GAGGGGAGUGAAAUAGAACCUGAAACCCUGCACUUACAAGCUGUGGAAGCACAUUUCUUGUGUGACCGCGUACUUUUUGUAGAACGGGCCAACGAGUUACGUUAAGUAGCAAGGUUAAGCACUUAAGUUGCGGAGCCGUAGCGAAAGCGAGUUUUAACUGAGCGUUCAGUUACUUGACGUAGACCCGAACCCGGGCGGCCUACCCAUGAGCAGGAUGAAGCGAAAGUAAAAAUUCGUGGAGGUCCGAACCCACGAGCGUUGAAAAGCUAGGGGAUGACUUGUGGGUAGCGGUGAAAUUCCAAUCGAUCCCGGAGAUAGCUGGUUCUCCCCGAAAUAGCUUUAGGGCUAGCCUCAAGGUGAGAGAUACGGAGGUAGAGCACUGAAUGUCCUAGGGG